GCCAGCGUAGCUCAGUUGGUAGAGCUACUGAUUUGUAAUCAGUCGGUCGCAGGUUCAAGUCCUGUCGCUGGCU
rnacentral:tRNA from 1 species